UAUCAGGGGCGGAUCUUUCGGUGCUUGGUAGAUCGAUGCCUUCUGAACUUAAAGGCAAAGUAAUAAACUAAACAUAAAUCGCCGGUUGCUGCUUCAGAGAGCCGCUCGCCUCCUCUAUUUCGGGUAAUUUUGGACAGAAAACGCUUCACAGGGUUUGCUGAUAAGAUGCUUAUUUUCCCACGACUUGCUUCGCAUCUGAUAUCUAUGUGACUGAUUUUUGAUAGAUCAGACAAAAGUCACGUUAUUGACCAAAAUAGCACAGUUCUUUGGUUGUUUUCGGCUAGAUGUAUAGCCUUUAGUCGAUGCGUUGCAGCCUAUGACGAUGAUGUGUUGUAACGGUAUGAGGACAGUAAGAGACUUCGUAAGGGGGCAGAUAAUCUGAUCGAGAUUGAUUAUGAGUUCCUGUUGUCUGAUUUGAAAGCUACAAAAGGAAACUGAUGUCAUUUCUGUGUACAUGCAACCCCAACAGCUCCUCCAGCAGAAGCUGCUUCCUCCUGUCUUCCAGAUGCUGCUGACCAAGUUGUCCACCAUCUGACAGGUUAAUGUGAACAAUAAAAGAGUUAGUCUUGUCCCACCGCUGCAACUCCCGUAUGGACUCGGGAGAGGAGAAAAUCGAGAGCUAUGCAUCCUUCGAGACACAACCCUGCGAUGCCGCACUGCGUCUUGACACUGCUCAACCCGGAAGCCAGCCACACCAGUGUGUCGGAGGAAAUUCCGUACAGCUGGCGAACAUGUCAGUGUGCAUGUGCCCGGCCCACCACAGGAGUCACUAGAGCGCGAUGGGACAAGGACCUCCCGGCUGUCCAAACCCUCCACUAACACGGACAACGCUGGGACAAUUGUGUGCCGCCUCAUGGGUCUCCCCGUCGCAACCCGCAGCGACACAGCCCGGGAUCAAACCUGGGUCUGUAGUGACUCCUCAAGUGCUGAGAUACUGAGUGCCUUUGACUGUGGCGCCACCCGGGAGGCCCAUCAUAAGAAUUUGUAUUGAAUUAACACCACUGCAAUGAUUUAGCAUAGGCUACAUUUUCUAUUAAUUUGACAUGGUGACACAAACCUGCAUAAUGCUGGUGUAACCCAUUUGGAUGUGCAUAAUACUGUU